UUGGAGGGCAAGUCUGGUGCCAGCAGCCGCGGUAAUUCCAGCUCCAAUAGCGUAUAUUAAAGUUGUUGCAGUUAAAAAGCUCGUAGUUGAAUUUCGGGAUCAAUUUGCUGGUCGUGCCUCUGGUACGUACUGGUAUUAUUGGUUUCUCCCUUCUGACGAACCAUGAUGUCAUUAAUUUGAUGUCGUGGAGAAUCAGGACUGUUACUUUGAAAAAAUUAGAGUGUUUAAAGCAGGCUUACGCUUGAAUACAUUAGCAUGGAAUAAUGAAAUAGGACGUUUAAACCUAUUUUGUUGGUUUCUAGGAUCGACGUAAUGAUUAAUAGGGAUAGUUGGGGGCAUUAGUAUUCAAUUGUCAGAGGUGAAAUUCUUGGAUUUAUUGAAGACUAACUACUGCGAAAGCAUUUGCCAAGGAUGUUUUCAUUAAUCAAGAACGAAAGUUAGGGGAUCGAAGACGAUCAGAUACCGUCGUAGUCUUAACCAUAAACUAUGCCGACUAGGGAUCGGAUGAUGUUAAUUUUUUAAUGACUCAUUCGGCGCCUUACGGGAAACCAAAGUGUUUGGGUUC
rnacentral:rRNA from 1 species